UCUAUAGCUCAGUCGGUAGAGCGUGCGCCUGUUAAGCGUAAGGUUGCAAGAUCGAUUCCGGGUGUGUCC
rnacentral:tRNA from 1 species